AUUUUUUGUGUUUUCUAUAGAUUCAAUGGUUAGAACUUUGUAAGAGGGAGAGGGAUAGCUUAAGGGUUGAGAUAAAAGCUCCUAAAUCUAGUAGUCUAAUCAACUUAGAAUGGCAAGCCUAUGUUGGCUAGGAGAGAGGAGAUGAUUGAAGAGGUGAAUGGCCAAGAUUAAAGAAGGUUAUUUAUUUAUUUAUUUUUAUAUUUGUACCUUUAGAUGGAGGGAGGGGAUGAUUAGGAUUAGGAGAGAGGGUCCAAUCUAAGUAUGGAGAGAGAUGCUUAGCUCAUCCCUUCUCUUCGUUGGUGAGGUGGAGAAGGACUGGAUGUGGAGGAUGAGAAGAGGAUUUAAGGGUGGAGAGUAGAAUAGAAAGGUUGUAAUUUAGGCCAGAUCAAAGAAGGAUUUAGAUAAUUAAUUAGGUCAUUAGAAGGGGAUGUAAGGGCCAAAUAUAAAACACCUAAGUUAUAUAUGAAUAAGGUGAAAAAAGAUAUUUGAUUUUGCAGUUAUAUAUGAGUAAAGUUUAUGAUAAAAAAUGAAUAUUUUU
rnacentral:lncRNA from 1 species